rnacentral:rRNA from 1 species
GACGAACCGAGCGAACGUUGUUCGGAAUCACUGGGCUUAAAGGGCGCGUAGGCGGGCUGUCAAGUCUGGGGUGAAAUCCCGCGGCUCAACCGUGGAACUGCCUCAGAUACUGACGGCCUCGAGGGAGAUAGGGGCGAGCGGAACUAAUGGUGGAGCGGUGAAAUGCGUUGAUAUCAUUAGGAACUCCGGUGGCGAAGGCGGCUCGCUGGAUCGGUACUGACGCUGAGGUGCGAAAGCGUGGGGAGCAAACAGG